rnacentral:rRNA from 1 species
AACCCGACUCCAUGAAGCUGGAUUCGCUAGUAAUCGCGCAUCAGCCACGGCGCGGUGAAUACGUUUCCCGGGCCUUGUACACACCGCCCGUCAAGCCAUGGAAGCCGGGAGUGCCUGAAGUACGCGACCGCAAGGAGCGGCCUAGGGUAAAACUGGUGACUGGGGCUAAGUCGUAACAAGGUACC